GGGUUGUGAGGUUAAGCGACUAAGCGUACACGGUGGAUGCCCUGGCAGUCAGAGGCGAUGAAGGACGUGCUAAUCUGCGAAAAGCGUCGGUAAGGUGAUAUGAACCGUUAUAGCCGGCGAUGUCCGAAUGGGGAAACCCAGUGCAAUUCGUUGCACUAUCGUUAACUGAAUACAUAGGUUAACGAGGCGAACCGGGGGAACUGAAACAUCUAAGUACCCCGAGGAAAAGAAAUCAACCGAGAUUCCCCCAGUAGCGGCGAGCGAACGGGGAGCAGCCCAGAGUCUGAAUCAGCUUGUGUGUUAGUGGAACGGUCUGGAAAGUCCGACGGUACAGGGUGAUAGUCCCGUACACCAAAAUGCACAGGCUGUGAACUCGAAGAGUAGGGCGGGACACGUGGUAUCCUGUCUGAAUAUGGGGGGACCAUCCUCCAAGGCUAAAUACUCCUGACUGACCGAUAGUGAACCAGUACCGUGAGGGAAAGGCGAAAAGAACCCCGGCGAGGGGAGUGAAAAAGAACCUGAAACCGUGUACGUACAAGCAGUGGGAGCACCUUCGGGUGUGACUGCGUACCUUUUGUAUAAUGGGUCAGCGACUUAUAUUCUGUAGCAAGGUUAACCGUAUAGGGGAGCCGCAGGGAAACCGAGUCUUAACUGGGCGUUAAGUUGCAGGGUAUAGACCCGAAACCCGGUGAUCUAGCCAUGGGCAGGUUGAAGGUUGGGUAACACUAACUGGAGGACCGAACCGACUAAUGUUGAAAAAUUAGCGGAUGACUUGUGGCUGGGGGUGAAAGGCCAAUCAAACCGGGAGAUAGCUGGUUCUCCCCGAAAGCUAUUUAGGUAGCGCCUCGUGAAUUCAUCUUCGGGGGUAGAGCACUGUUUCGGCUAGGGGGUCAUCCCGACUUACCAACCCGAUGCAAACUACGAAUACCGAAGAAUGUUAUCACGGGAGACACACGGCGGGUGCUAACGUCCGUCGUGAAGAGGGAAACAACCCAGACCGCCAGCUAAGGUCCCAAAGUCAUGGUUAAGUGGGAAACGAUGUGGGAAGGCACAGACAGCCAGGAUGUUGGCUUAGAAGCAGCCAUCAUUUAAAGAAAGCGUAAUAGCUCACUGGUCGAGUCGGCCUGCGCGGAAGAUGUAACGGGGCUAAACCAUGCACCGAAGCUGCGGCAGCGACACUAUGUGUUGUUGGGUAGGGGAGCGUUCUGUAAGCCUGCGAAGGUGUGCUGUGAGGCAUGCUGGAGGUAUCAGAAGUGCGAAUGCUGACAUAAGUAACGAUAAAGCGGGUGAAAAGCCCGCUCGCCGGAAGACCAAGGGUUCCUGUCCAACGUUAAUCGGGGCAGGGUGAGUCGACCCCUAAGGCGAGGCCGAAAGGCGUAGUCGAUGGGAAACAGGUUAAUAUUCCUGUACUUGGUGUUACUGCGAAGGGGGGACGGAGAAGGCUAUGUUAGCCGGGCGACGGUUGUCCCGGUUUAAGCAUGUAGGCUGAUUGUCCAGGCAAAUCCGGAUAAUCAAGGCUGAGGUGUGAUGACGAGGCACUACGGUGCUGAAGUAACAAAUGCCCUGCUUCCAGGAAAAGCCUCUAAGCAUCAGGUAACAUUAAAUCGUACCCCAAACCGACACAGGUGGUCAGGUAGAGAAUACCAAGGCGCUUGAGAGAACUCGGGUGAAGGAACUAGGCAAAAUGGUGCCGUAACUUCGGGAGAAGGCACGCUGGUGUGUAGGUGAAGCCCCUGCGGGUGGAGCUGAGACCAGUCGAAGAUACCAGCUGGCUGCAACUGUUUAUUAAAAACACAGCACUGUGCAAACACGAAAGUGGACGUAUACGGUGUGACGCCUGCCCGGUGCCGGAAGGUUAAUUGAUGGGGUUAUCCGUAAGGAGAAGCUCUUGAUCGAAGCCCCGGUAAACGGCGGCCGUAACUAUAACGGUCCUAAGGUAGCGAAAUUCCUUGUCGGGUAAGUUCCGACCUGCACGAAUGGCGUAAUGAUGGCCAGGCUGUCUCCACCCGAGACUCAGUGAAAUUGAACUCGCUGUGAAGAUGCAGUGUACCCGCGGCAAGACGGAAAGACCCCGUGAACCUUUACUAUAGCUUGACACUGAACAUUGAGCCUUGAUGUGUAGGAUAGGUGGGAGGCUUUGAAGCGUGGACGCCAGUCUGCGUGGAGCCAACCUUGAAAUACCACCCUUUAAUGUUUGAUGUUCUAACGUUGGCCCCUUACCGGGGUUGCGGACAGUGUCUGGUGGGUAGUUUGACUGGGGCGGUCUCCUCCCAAAGCGUAACGGAGGAGCACGAAGGUUAGCUAAUCCUGGUCGGACAUCAGGAGGUUAGUGCAAUGGCAUAAGCUAGCUUGACUGCGAGCGUGACGGCGCGAGCAGGUGCGAAAGCAGGUCAUAGUGAUCCGGUGGUUCUGAAUGGAAGGGCCAUCGCUCAACGGAUAAAAGGUACUCCGGGGAUAACAGGCUGAUACCGCCCAAGAGUUCAUAUCGACGGCGGUGUUUGGCACCUCGAUGUCGGCUCAUCACAUCCUGGGGCUGAAGUAGGUCCCAAGGGUAUGGCUGUUCGCCAUUUAAAGUGGUACGCGAGCUGGGUUUAGAACGUCGUGAGACAGUUCGGUCCCUAUCUGCCGUGGGCGCUGGAGAAUUGAGGGGGGCUGCUCCUAGUACGAGAGGACCGGAGUGGACGCAUCACUGGUGUUCGGGUUGUCAUGCCAAUGGCACUGCCCGGUAGCUAAAUGCGGAAGAGAUAAGUGCUGAAAGCAUCUAAGCACGAAACUUGCCCCGAGAUGAGUUCUCCCUGAGACUUUAAGUCUCCUGAAGGAACGUUAAAGACGAUGACGUUGAUAGGCCGGGUGUGUAAGCGCAGCGAUGCGUUGAGCUAACCGGUACUAAUGAACCGUGAGGCUUAACCUUACAACGCCGAAG
rnacentral:rRNA from 1 species